AAACCAGCACCUCAAGUGGUCAGGAUGAUUAUUGGGCCUAAAGCAUCCGUAGCCUGCUCUGUAAGUUUUCGGUUAAAUCCACUAGCUCAACUAGUGGGCUGCCGAAAAUACUGUAGAACUAGGGAGUGGGAGAGGUAGACUGUAUUCGGUAGGAAGGGGUAAAAUCCUUUGAUCUAUUGAGGACCACCUGUGGCGAAGGCGGUCUACCAGAACACGUUCGACGGUGAGGGAUGAAAGCUGGGGGAGCAAACCGGAUUAGAAACCCGGGUAGUCC
rnacentral:rRNA from 1 species